rnacentral:tRNA from 1 species
UAGUUUUUGAGCUUGUAAAAAGCAUUUACUUUGAAAGUAAAAGAAAGGAAAAUUAUUCCUAAAAGCUAU